rnacentral:rRNA from 1 species
GAUGAACGCUAGCGGCAGGCCUAAUACAUGCAAGUCGAACGCUCAGUAGCAAUACUGGGAGUGGCGCACGGGUGCGUAACGCGUACACAAUCUACCUCUAAGCGGGGGACACCUCCUGGAAACGGGGAUUAAUACCGCAUAAUAUGCCGAAGUCGCAUGACUUUGGUAUUAAAGCAGCAAUGCACUUAGAGAUGAGUGUGCGUCCCAUUAGGUAGUUGGUGAGGUAACGGCUCACCAAGCCUAUGAUGGGUAGCCGGUCUGAGAGGAUGGUCGGCCACACGGGCACUGAGACACGGGCCCGACUCCUACGGGAGGCAGCAGUAAGGAAUAUUGGACAAUGGGGGCAACCCUGAUCCAGCCAUGCCGCGUGUGUGAAGAAGGCCUCGGUGUAAGCACUUAAGUGGGGUAGGAAGGCGUCGCUGAUUAAUAAUCAGCGGAGGUGACGUUACCCACAGAAUAAG